rnacentral:misc_RNA from 1 species
AUGAUUCUCAAAGGAUGUGCUGGCAACUUGUACUUGCAUGUGCACUCUGACUCUCAUCCACCUGUGCACAUUCUGUAGACAAGAAAUAGUAAUUCUAUUUAUUGUCUAUGAUUUUUCAUACACUCUGUUAAAAUGUUAAGAUGUUUAUAAAAUUAAUA